CCAUUUCAAAGGUACUGUUUGGAUACAUAAAAUAUAUAAGGAUAGUUUAAUUCUUACAAGGUAUUAUUGUAAAGAAAGUGUAGCAAUAGAGAAAUAGUGGAAUGUAUUGAUAAACCACAAUAUUUUGAGCAACAAUUUAGAUAGCCUAAGUCACCCUUUAAGUGGAAUAUAUGAUCCAGAGUAUCAGGAUAUCUUGCAAUUUCUGCCCAGAACUUUAUCAACAUGUUGGAACUUCUUUAUCUACCAUAGAUCACAUCAAACGCCUCUGCAUACCCAAUGUCCAUUCAUUGGAUAACAUAUCUCUGCAUCUAAACAAUCCCUAGAAGACUUCGCACAUAAAAGCGCCCUCCCAAAAAAGUAAAUGAACUUCAUGAAACCUAACAAACAUAAGCCCCGACCAGCAAAGAAUGCACAUGAAAUCCAGCUAAUCGGUUUAUUCAUACAAAAAAGGACUGCUCAAAGGAUUAGAAAGGCAUGGAAGAUUCCAACAACAGUAAAUAAAGCAACUAAACUUUCAAAAAAGGUGAAUAACAAAGUAUGAAAAAUAUCUUUAAAUAAAUUCUACAGUAUUAAACAACUUUUGGAAAAUGUUAUGCACUUCAUUACAUUAUCCUCAGUAAUAUUUACUUUGGACAGCAAGAUUCAAAGCGGAAAAAAAAAGAGAGAAAAAACAGAUGAAACGAGUAAAUCAAAAGGUAGAGAAAAAAAAAGCCCCUAGCUGUUGCUUAGAACCAACGAGGGAACUUGUAUAUGAUUCACAUGGCAUAAGAAAGAAAAAGAGGAUAAUGCAUUUUCUCUUUUAAGACCCAACUAGAGAAAUCCUAGUUGAUAGGUAUCAGGCUAUAUUACAGGAGUUAGCAAGAGGAUCCCACUUAUUGUGAGAUCCUGCAGUCAAUUACUAAAUUGGCAUAGAAUAAGGAAUGAUUUCAUUCCUUAAUCUACUGUGCAAAGGAGAAAGCUAAUCAUAGAUAUGACUAUAUACCUGUCAGCCAAGAUUUUGGAUAGUUCGUCAGUUGCUUAUUACAUACAAUGAUACAAAACAUAUCUUCACAUGUUAGUUCUUUUCCUUAUCCUUGCUUUAAUAUUUGGAUUUAGUAACAGGCAAACCAAGUAGAGUACUCACAACUAGAACUGCUAGGCUUUUAUUCCAUGAAACUAAACAGAUGCUGGACAGUCGGUCCUUGUAAAUCAGACACCAACUUCAGCAUUAUAAAUGUACCUUCGAAUCUCAAAACUUUGAGAGCUACUCUGAUUAAUAUGUGCGACAGAUUAGUUAUAGUGAAGAUCGGUCCAGCCACCUUCUAAAGCUCACGAUCUUAAGAUGAAAUAUCAAUAUUUUGUCAAAUCAGGCAGCAGGAUCAGACUGGAAAAAAAAAAGGCUCAAUUUUCCUGUGGAAUGGACGAUCUCAAAAUGACAAUUCAAACAAGAAGAUCAUUAGAUUGAUGAAAUAAAGGUCUAUUAAGAAAUGGUAGAGUCCUUCAUUAACUCUUAUUGACCAGCUUAACUACAAAGAUAGAAAGAGGUCCAAGAAAAUAUCCAUUGAAGAAUUGAAAGGCCACUAAACAUCAACUGAAAAAGAAAGUGAAAUCAUUUCUCAGGCAUUGGAUGGCACCAAUAUCACGUUUUAGUUAAUCUCUGAUCUUACGCAAAAUGAAGCCGCUUACAUAACACACCACCAAAGUGGUGUUGGCUUAAAUGGGUCAGCAUGCUGCCCUGUGGCGGGAGGUCAUGUUGGGCCAAGUCAUAUUCGAGGUGGCGUGAGGCUGAUUGGGCCUAAUCACAAUCGAGACCCGUGGGCGCUGUAUUUGUACGCUUUAAAUGAAUUGGUUGCGUAUUUCUACCGGCUCAAGCUUUUGGGAUUAAUGGUUUGCGCCAACGAUCCGACAAGUGGUAUCAGAGCCAGAGGACACGGGUUUGAUUCCCGCAUGCUGCAAAUGUGAGUAGUUGCUGGAGGAGGGAUUGUUGGCUUAAAUGGGCCAGCAUCCUGCCCUGUGGCGAUAGGCCAUGUUGGGCCAGGUCAUAUUCGAGAUGGCGUGAGGCUGGUUGGGCCGAAUCACAAUCGAGACCCGUGGGCAUUGUAUCUGUACGCUUUAAGUGAAUUGGUUGCGUAUUUCUAACAGCUCGAGCUUUUGAGAUUAAUGGAUAGCGCCAACGAUCCAAUAGGUGGCAUAAAAGAGCAGCAAUAAUAUAGUGGUAGAUAGGAAUUGUAACACGAAAAAAUAAGCUUUGUAUGAUAUUGAAGGGUCUCUUCAAAAAUCAGGUCUAUACAAUAAUCAUGAAAACCUGCUCUGAACUCGCAAAAACUGGAAUAAACAGAGCAUUAGCAAUUGGACCUACCAACCAUUGCUCAUGAUUGUUAAGGCCAGUAUAAACACUCUCCUAAGAAAGACUAUUGUCUCUCGCUGACUAAAGAAUAAAAAAUGCUAUAUGUACACCCUAUAUAUUAGGCGUAAAUCUUCCACCCACCCAUCCAAGGGUAUAAAAACUACAUUUGGAUUGGAUUUUCAAUAUAUAUAUAUAUAUAUAUAUAUAUAAAGGUUGAUAAGGCUGGCAGAACUACAUUGGGUUUUGGAUCAAUAGGGUGUAAAAUUUACACCCUAUUUACAGGUGUACAAGUACAUAAAUAAUACAUUGGUUUGUUGCACAAUUCCUAAAAUCUGAAGCAAUACAGUUUUUCUAUUAAAAGAACAAUGUCACGGAAAAAUAUCAGAAAGAACAAAGAAUCCAUGAAUAUUAACGACAAGGAAAAAACAAGAAAGGAAUAAGCAGAAAAUAGCUACUAAUUUAUAAUUACUUUCUGCUCCCAUGUUUCAUUCAUUCCGAUUGAUCAGUAAAAACUACAAAGGCAAUAGGUUCCUAAUAUCUUGUCACUUUAAAUAGAAGCCUUCCUGUGAUCAGAAUAACGAGCAUCUGGAAUUAAAACGUAAAAUGACUUGUAUAAACCCCACUAGGUCUUAAUCCACCAGAUAGUGUGAAAUGCCAGAUAGCUCAUCUAAAAUCUAACAAAUCCGUCGCACGGAUAACUAAACCCAGCAAUCGAUUGCUCUUACCUGCCAAAGGAUUCUCCAAACCCCCCACAACAUCGUCUGAUCCUAGGAAUACGAAAUAAAAUGCUAACUAUAAAGGAACGACACCACUGUCGUCAUCGUCGUCACCAUCACAAUCAAAGGCAUACAUCGCAUCAACAAUCGCAAGCUUCUCAUAAGGAAGAAACAACUAAAACAUCAUCAUCGAUGCAUCAAUAAGCAGAUAAUAUCAUCGUACAAAAAGAGGAAAAUAAUUCGCAUCAAGAGAAUCGAAGCAUCCAGGUUAAAAAAACAAAAACAAACGAAGCAUCCAAGAACAGAGAGGAGAGAAAGGAAACCCUAACCUCAACCUGAUGCUGGGAGCGUCGAUUUGCAGAGGAGGAUCUCGAAAAGAAGUACGAAAACGGAGAAAAAUUGAGGAGAAAAUAAUCGUUUUAUAGCGUCGUCGAAGAGAGUGGGAAACGCCGGUUCUUUUUUUC
rnacentral:lncRNA from 1 species